AUGAGGAAGGGUUGGUGAGUAUUGCUAUGAUUUCUUUUAUUUGCAGUCAACGGAGACGGGGUGUUAUUUGUAUUUGGCGGAAACAGCUGUUGGAUCGAGAGAGCCAAGAAAACGCACAGAAAUGGAGCCGUCGAUGUUUCAUUCGUCGCAUGGAUGAGAGAAGGCAAUAAGCGUCCGUUUCGUCUUAGGUGUGAAGGGUUUCAAGGACGGUCAGAGAACCCCAGCCUCGCGCUUAUCCUCGCCCUCCCCACGAGUCCCUCGGGAUUCUGUGCUUUCAUGCGUCGAAUUGCUCGACUCUGCGCACACUUAUACGCCGCAUCAUCGCUCUGCUGCACGCCAGCAACGUUAGAGCGGGGAGUUUCUGGUAGGUACUUCUUCCAGCUCAGCACACUUUCGCUCAGAAGACCCGGUUGUCCAAAUGGCUCGGGUAGGAAGAACUGUGCCGCGGAUGUCGUGGAGCGAAGGAGUUGCAGCGUGAGUGCGAGUGUAGGAGAAUAGCGUCGUGUAGACCGAGGUAGUUUUUCGUGAAAACUGGUACCAGUUGUGCCUAGGUGACACGAAUCCACAACAGCUCUGCUCAAGUGUGUCUGUGGAAAAUUGCAAUUUAAGCAGCGUGACCUCAUACUCCAGUAUGACCUCAUCAUCUUAUUGAAUUGCAUGUUCGUGGAGCAUUACCUUGGCGAUUACAUUCCGCUUGAUAAUAGGAUGUGCCUGAAUGCUUCAUGGCUGUUUGAAAGUGGGUGAAGUGAGAUCAACUUUGCUGGUGCAUGGUCGACAACCAAACACCAGGAAGAAACUCAACAAUCUCGGGAAAUCAGGUGAACAUCUCAUGACGUCAUGAUGACCUCAACAUUUAUAGAAGUUAGGUAUGUCCAUGUGCAUGCUUGGGUCUAUUUUUUGUAUGGUGCAAGCUUAUCUUUCGUGUGUGUAGUUAGUAGUUCUGUGAAGUGAGGGAAGUAUGUAGAAAUAUUGAAUGCUCUGAUUGCAUUUGUUUCAAAGUUUUUCCGUGAUUAAACAAUGGAUAGGAGAAGAUAGGGAAAAAAUACAUGUUUUGGAAAUGUUUAUAUAUUUGGAAAUUUGUAGGACCAUGUUUGUUGUAAUAAUUUACGAUGAUAUAUGUGUUGAGAGAUGGUCUUGAGAGAAAUGUAGAUUUUGGACAUGGUCAUGAUGCACAUAUGAAAUAUAUAAUGGAUUAUGCAAUGUUGUAGUUGUGAAUGAUUGUGCCAAUAAGAGAAUGUUUGGGUAGCGAUGGCAAGGUUUGGGAUGGACAAGCUUGUUGGCAUAGAGGAAAAAGUUUUAGUGUAAUAAUGUAGAAAUAAUAUGAGAAGUUCUAUGAAAAAAAUGGAGUUAAAUCAUGAAGAUCACUUUAGUGAUUAGUUGUGAGUAGUAAGUUAUAGAUAGUGAGUGGUAGAAAGUAUAUGGAGUGUUGUUUAAAAGUGUACACAAUAGAUAAUAUGAUAUAUUGAAUUCUCAUUAUUGGUUUCACAAACAAAUCUUGUUAUUGUGUUGUUUUUUACUAGAGUGUGGUAAUUGAGUGAUAGUGGAAAAAUCUACUUAAGUUUAAGUAAGCUUUAGAAAUUUAAGGAGAAUUAAGAAGUACAUAUCAAAUAUUUUGCAAGGUAUGAAUAUUAAUCAUGAUAAGUUUUGUAUUUAUGAUUAGACAUUUGUUUUAUGUAUACAUAGAGAAAAAGAGAGACUUUUAUUCUUUGUACAUAAGUUUGUUUUACACCUAACAUGUAAUUAUGAAGUAGAAAAUUACUAAAAGAGUAAUGGUCAUAGUUGUAGGUUUUCUUUACUUUAGUGAAGUUCAUUAUUGAAGUUCAUUAUUGACAUUCUAUUAAUGUUGAAAUAGACUUUUUAGUGAUGAAAAUUGUCAAAA